AGGGAGUAGCAGAUCUUCUAGUGAUCUGACCCAACCACGCGUCCCACCAAAACAGUGUAGGGUGGAAAAGUUUGAUAACAUCUGUCAAAGUGGAGCUGAGACACCUAAGAAAGGGUGGAGAAGGGGAUUCAGUGCUGAACAUUCUGAGAAGAUGAAAGAGUCUGUUUUGUCCUUGACGAGAAAUGAACAUGUAGAUUGCACCAACUUCUCAUGCCUUGAGUAGGAGUCAGAUAUCUGGGCUGGGCUCAGCUUGGCAGUUUCUCUGUUGGUCUUGGUUGGGCUCACUGUGUGUCUGCCAUCAGCUGAGCGUGGACAGACUGUCAGACGGGGGGUCAGGUUACCGAGCCCUUUUCUCUUGUCAUGCAGCAGAAUACUCCAGGGGCCUUCACCUAGUGGCUGCAAUGUUCCCAAGAGCAGCAAGAGAGGACACACCACUUGGCUCACAGAAACUUUUCAAGUCGCUGAUAGUGUCACAUUUGCUAGUGGGCCAUGGGACCAAAUCAAAUCACAUGGCCGAUGGCAGAUUCAAGGGGUAGGAGAAAAGACCACACCUCUUAAAGAGAGGGGAAGAGUGUGUGGUCAUUUUUUUGCAAUCUACACAAAUUAUAAAAUCCAGAGAGAUCGACCUUUGGGAUUUCGGCAAAUUCUAUCAUUUAGGCAAGGGUGGGAUUGGAAGCACUCCUUCCUGAGAAAACAAUAUACCUCAUUUUCCGAAAGCAUCUUAACGGCAGCUUAGCCAGGCCACAUCCCUAGAGUCCUGGCAUGGCAGAAACAAUUCAUGGUAAACAAAGUACAAAACCAGGAAAGACUGAGAGGAGUUUGUGGGGGAAACAGCCCACAUUAAAAAAUAAAGAGACUAUGUAUCAUUUUCCUCUUAAAUUCUUUCUCACUCUUCGCUACCCGGCAUCACUGCUUUUCCUUAUUCUCCCACUUCUCUUCCGUGUGUGUGUUUUCAGCAUUUACCAAAAGGCACCUGAUGAAACCUAGUCACAUGCGGGGGGAGGUGGGUCAGAGUGCGGUGCCAACCAGUGCAAUGUCCCGGAGGGGGAGGGACAGAAAAGCCCUUGGUGUCCCAGACUUAGAUACUGAGUGCACAGCGGAGAGAGAAAAAGCAGUUAGGUCCUCGGAAUGGAAAAAGAACACUUCACUCUUCAAAAAGGUCCACUUCCUUUUGUUUUGUCAUAGCCACUCGAGGAUUGUGAUUCAGAACAGCAAAUUGAAGAUAUUUCUGCGAUUGUUCCGGAGGUCACUGUCACCGAGCUCACCAAAGGCCUUCUGAAUUCAGUGUAACCGUCGUUGACAGUGACUGGGAAAUGAUGGGGACAGAAGGUGUAAUUUUAUCUUGAAGCUGUCAUCCCUGGUCAGCAGAAGGCUUUCUUCUAAUAGUAAAUUCUUCUGUCUCUAAACGUAGCACAGGACCUACAGAGAAGCAGUCACGACAUCUGAAGAUUGGCACACCAGAGCUAAUUCUCUUUCACAAUCGGAAAUGGAGUCCUGGCUCCACUAAGGAAGAGACCAACAAGUCUUCCCAGGUGGUGGCCGGAGAAGGUCCUGGGCCUGCUGGCUCUUGGAUGUGUGUCUUGCCCCUGGAGUCUGCAUCUGACUUCUAGUCAUUCCGAGAGCGAGCUUGAAAACGUCAGACCACGAGGGACAUUCUGGUUGGAAAGUCACUCUGGGAAAGAAGAGAAAGAGCCCCACAUUAAACCACAGACUGGCUAAAGAAAGUGACAGACUACUACACACGGGUCGCUGGGCAGAGCCAGGCACACCCUGACUCACAGGUCCUCUCGCUAGACUUCCUCGGUUCUCCCUCAGCCUUAGCUGGUGCUGAAGC